GCUUAAAAAUUUUGAGCAAUUCAAAACCGUCGAUGGCAGCCGAUAUACAAAUUUCACACUGUCUCUAUACAAAUUUUAAUUUCUUGUGCAAAAAGAAAGGAUAAUUGUAAUACUUCGGAUAGUCGUGAUACUUUAUGCAAUGAUAAAUAUUGUGUUGUGACAGAAUCGUACGUACAAGGAGUGAAAACAGAAAUCGUUUUGGAAUCACCAAACUGCUAAACAGCGUUAAUACCAUCUUUUACACAAAAGUCUUAUUCAGGGUCUGACAAGUCGAACAUAACCUCUACACGUGAUUAGUAACCAUACGGGUGCAGCCAUGUUAAGUCUAUUCAAACAAUAAGAAGCAAGUCACGCCUCUUAUUCGAAAGAUUGGAACGAUUGAGGUGGGACAGCCGUGUAAAAUCCUUAAUCGCAUUGUCCAGACACCGGCGCAGAUGGAAGCUGCUUUGAAGUAAUUAACCCUGUUAACCCAUGGCGCUGAGGUUCGCACGGACAGCGCUGUAAGCUUACGCACCGCGCAUAUAUACGUAGAUGUGUAGAGGUCGUGACAGCACGGUCAAUCGGCCAAUACCAAUUCUCUGUUAAUUUAUUACAAUCUUCUAUUAUUAUCACUACGGUCAUACACAAGUACAGGUGGAAAUUUUUCUUCGACGAUAAAAGCCUCGGGAAUUAACAUUAUUUAUAAAACAGCCAUUUCUAGAAGUCAGGAUUAACGAAUGACGAAGGUGGCGUAGAAAUGAAGAUUUUCUAAUCACGUGUUACACUGAAAAUUCGAUUAAUCAAUCGAUUAUCUCAUUCGGAGAAUUAAUAAUAUGAAGAGUAUGCGAUGGCGAUUAAAUAAAUUCAUUGGGGAAUUUAUGUAAGACACACACAUCGCUUCACUGAAAAAUAUCACCAAUGCUGAAAGGAAACUAUCCUAACGAUAGAAGCUUAAGAAGAUAUUCUAACUGAACACAGAUCUGUUUGAGAUACGAGGUACUUCCCUUAUCUAUUUAAUCACAUGUGCAAUACUUACAACUGAUAUGCGUAUGAAACUAGUGAU